GAGGGAAUGACUGGUGACAGAGUGAGAGAGGGGGUGAAUAGUGACCGAGUGAGGGAGGGAGAGGGUGACUAGUGACAGAGUGAGGAAGGGGGUGACACAGUGAUAGUCACCCCAUUCCUCCCUCUGUCACUAAUCACCACCUCCCUCACUCUCACUAGUUACCCCUUCCCUCCCUUACUCUGUCACUAGUCACACCCUCCCUCUCUCUGUCACUAGUCACACCCUCCCUCUCUCUGUCACUAGAGUGAGGG
rnacentral:sRNA from 1 species